rnacentral:rRNA from 1 species
CAAUAGCGUAUAUUUAAGUUGUUGCAGUUAAAAAGCUCGUAGUCGGAUUUUGGCUGAGAACGAUCGGUCCGCCGUUAGGUGUGCACUGAUUGGUCUCAGCUUCCUGGUGAGGAGGUGUGCUUCACGGCCACUUAGUCACCGUGGUUACUUUGAAAAAAUUAGAGUGUUCAAAGCGGGCUUACGCUUGAAUAUAUUAGCAUGGAAUAACACCAUAGGACUCCUGUCCUAUUUCGUUGGUCUCGGGACGGGAGUAAUGAUUAAGAGGAACAGUUGGGGGCAUUCGUAUUUCAUUGUCAGAGGCGAAAUUCUUGGAUUUAUGAAAGACGAACUUCUGCGAAAGCAUUUGCCAAGGAUGUUUUCAUUGA